UGUGUUAUCUCAUAUAUGUCUCAAAAAACCUUUAUUAGAUAGGUACUAUUUUUAUACCCAUUUUAUAGAUGAGGAAAAUGAGGUACAAGAAGUUUAAGUCAUUUGCCCAAUGUCCCCGAAGAGUUUGACAGUGUUGGAGCCUACAUUCAAACACUGUAAAUCAGUGCUCGAGUCUAUAUUAUCUCAUUUAAUGCAUAUUGUAUAAUAAUCCCUGCACCGAUGGGGAAGAGAGCAGCAUUUCAGAGGGAACUCCUAGAGAUGGGUGAAAAGUUGAAAGACUGACCAAGAAGAGAAAGACAUUCAUUUAUGUCAAGAAGGGCAGCUCUCUUAGCAGCUCUCACUGCCCUUCUCGUUUGGUUGCACUACUCAUUUCUGUAUCAGCAGUAACCCAUCAGAUCACCUUCAAGCUUAAAGUAAGGCAACCUUUACACAAAAGCAGAAGGUAGGUCCCACAGGGCUCAUCACGGGAGGCAAGCCGCUAGAAACAUCGUCAGUGGCAGGGAAAGAGAUAACAACUUAUCAGAAGUUCUCUGCCUUACAGAACGACAAACUUGAGCUCUACUCCUUGGGAAACAAGUUCUCAGUUUAAAUCUUGGGCUUGGCAGCGUGGCAGGCUACUGGAACAGAUAUGUGAGCAACAUGGGGAGAAAGAUGGACCAGAGCAAGAUCAAAGCAAAGAGAAAAGGGUAACUAGAAGAUGCCCUGUGCCAGCUGUUUAAGAGGAGCACUUGUCAUGCAAGUAUUUUCAAACAACACACUUUGUGCCAAAUGCAUUGCUAUAGAACAAGAUCUUUGUUGGUGUGCUUUGUGUACGUACACUGGUGGUUGAAUAAACUUAAGUUACAAAGCUUUUAAUACUGUCCAAGUAUUACAUACUCUGCCAAAAGAAUAAAGCCCCUGAAAGAAAGAUUUUGGGGAAGCAGAAAAUUUUCAUCAUUGGAUUCCCCAAGACAAAAAAAAACAUUUUAAAAAUUAAAGAUAAGAGGAAAAUCUCAUCUUUGAUGUAAAAAGAAAUAUCUACAGCCCUAAACCCCAAGCUGUCAAGCGUCUCAGUCAACUAUGGAAAACUGGAUGAAAAUAAGAGAGGUUUAGAGAGUAUUUGGUGAGACCUCCUGAGACCUGGAAGUUUUUGGUUUCAGACUGGAAUUACCAAAUUUAGGGCCACCAAAAGGUCAAGCCACGACUCUAGAAACCCAGUG